rnacentral:rRNA from 1 species
UACGUAGGGUGCGAGCGUUAAUCGGAAUUACUGGGCGUAAAGCGUGCGCAGGCGGUUCUCCAAGUCCGUUGUGAAAGCCCCGGGCUCAACCCGGGAAUGGCAGUGGAAACUAGGGGACUGGAAUCUGGCAGAGGGGGGUGGAAUGCCGCGUGUAGCAGUGAAAUGCGUAGAGAUGCGGCGGAACACCGAUGGCGAAGGCAGCCCCCUGGGCUGAGAUUGACGCUCAGGCACGAAAGCGUGGGGAGCAAACAGG